AGGGUUUGAUCAUGGCUCAGGAUGAACGCUGGCGGUAUGCUUAACACAUGCAAGUCGUACGAAGAUAAAAUUGUGCUUGCACGAUUUUAUACUUAGUGGCGGACGGGUGAGUAACACGUAAGAAUCUACCUUUUGGCGAGGGACAACCACUGGAAACGGUGGCUAAUACCUCAUAUAACUGAGAAGUGAAAGAUGAAAAUCACCAAGAGAUGAGCUUGCGUCUGAUUAGCUAGUUGGUAAGGUAAAGGCUUACCAAGGCGACGAUCAGUAGCUGGUCUGAGAGGAUGAUCAGCCACACUGGGACUGAGACACGGCCCAGACUCCUACGGGAGGCAGCAGUGAGGAAUUUUCCGCAAUGGGCGAAAGCCUGACGGAGCAAUACCGCGUGAAGGAUUAAGGCCUAUGGGUUGUAAACUUCUUUUCUCAGAGAAGAAUUUUGACGGUAUCUGAGGAAUAAGCAUCGGCUAACUCUGUGCCAGCAGCCGCGGUAAGACAGAGGAUGCAAGCGUUAUCCGGAUUAAUUGGGCGUAAAGCGUCUGUAGGUGGUUUAUCAAGUUUUUUGUCAAAGAUCGGGGCUUAACUCCGGGCAGGCAGAGAAAACUAGUAGACUUGAGUUCGGUAGGGGCAGAGGGAAUUCCCGGUGGAGCGGUGAAAUGCGUAGAGAUCGGGAGGAACACCAAAGGCGAAGGCACUCUGCUGGGCCGCAACUGACACUGAGAGACGAAAGCGAGGGUAGCAAAU
rnacentral:rRNA from 1 species